rnacentral:lncRNA from 1 species
AUUCUGUGUGAAUAUUCUAAUUGAAUAUAUAAUUUUAUAGUUCCCAUAAUUUGAUAGACUUUUGUUGUUACAUUUUCCCUGUGUUUCAGUAAACCAGAAUGUAAGGCCAUAAAGAAUUAUCUUUUGUAAAUAGAUUUAUCUAGAAACCAGUCUAUAAUUUCCUUACGAUUGUCUAGUUUCUUCAGCAGCUUACUGUAUUUUGGUUUUGUAGGUUGGCCUGGCAGUGGUCAAUGGACAGCUCAUGGCAGUAGGAGGUUUUGAUGGCACAACAUACUUGAAGACCAUAGAAGUUUUUGAUCCUGAUGCCAAUACAUGGAGGUUAUAUGGCGGGAUGAAUUACCGUCGGCUAGGGGGUGGCGUAGGAGUUAUUAAAAUGACACAUUGUGAAUCCCAUAUUUGGUGAACACAGAGAAGACAGUCUUGUAUAUAUUCCUCUGUAUUCUGGGGAGCUUUGACCUUGGAGCUUUGUACAGCUUGAGAAAACAUUAGAACAAAUUUUAUUAUUUGCCGGUGCCUCAACAAAUGGAAAUACAAUCCAAUGAAAGUACUUCACCUGCAAGAUGCACAAUAAUUUUCAACUCUGUGCAGAAGAAUAUUUAUUUUUGGUUUUAAUUUAUCAUGGUUUUUUGUUGUUUUCGUUUUGAACUUAUCCUUCCUCCCACAAAAAAA